UAUUGGACAAUGGGCGAAAGCCUGAUCCAGCAAUGCCGCGUGAGUGAUGAAGGCCCUAGGGUUGUAAAGCUCUUUUACCCGGGAAGAUAAUGACUGUACCGGGAGAAUAAGCCCCGGCUAACUCCGUGCCAGCAGCCGCGGUAAUACGGAGGGGGCUAGCGUUGUUCGGAAUUACUGGGCGUAAAGCGCACGUAGGCGGCUUUGUAAGUCAGAGGUGAAAGCCUGGAGCUCAACUCCAGAACUGCCUUUGAGACUGCAUCGCUUGAAUCCAGGAGAGGUCAGUGGAAUUCCGAGUGUAGAGGUGAAAUUCGUAGAUAUUCGGAAGAACACCAGUGGCGGAGGCGGCUGACUGGACUGGUAUGACGCUGAGUGCGA
rnacentral:rRNA from 1 species